AAACUCAGAGAUUCCUUGUAUGACUCUCUCAAUUCUCUCUUUUGUGGUAUUUCUGGAUCCUUUCCAAGUAUAUGGUAUUUUUGGUAUGAGGCAUAGUGGCAUUGCCUUCUCUCUCACCCUACUCUAAUAAGGUUUUGAUAUCUAGAGCUCAUAGGUGGGAGACAGCUAAUACAUACUUACAAGACAUUUAUUGCAUAGUCAAACCAUGGAUCCAGAAGAACAAGUCAAUAAGUCAAAUCAAGAUGUGCAUGUGCGGCAAAUGAAUGGUGUAUGGUGAUGAUGGUGAUAACAAUGGUGAAAGUCUAAUUCUCCUUUUGCUCUUUUGAGGGGAUACAUACCUUUCUUGCUCUUUAAAACUUUUUGAGGAGAAUGAGAUGCUCUAUAUUUUGUUUUUCUUUUCUCUCAGUGGGUAUCUUGUACCCCUAAUUCUACUGUCGGACACUUGUCCAUUUUUACCUCUCGUCUCACUUUUUCUUUUCUUCGAGGUUCCGGGCACUUGCCCCUUUUUAUUUCCUUGUAUCUUUUUUUAGAGCACUCACCUCUUUAAAUAAUGUAGCAAGUGGUAGUAACCGAAAUAACUUGAGCAUUUAUUUCAUAGGGGAAAACA
rnacentral:lncRNA from 1 species